GAUACCACCCUUGUAGUACUGGGACUCUAACCAUAGGCCAUGAAUCUGGUCUUGGGACACUGUCAGGUGGGCAGUUUGACUGGGGCGGUCGCCUCCCAAAAGGUAACGGAGGCGCUCAAAGGUUCUCUCAGUACGGUCGGAAAUCGUACGUAGAGUGUAAAGGCAAAAGAGAGCUUGAUUGCAAGACAUACAGGUCGAGCAAGGAUGAAAAUCGGAC
rnacentral:rRNA from 1 species